AACGUAGGUUCCGAGCGUUAUCCGGAUUUAUUGGGCGUAAAGAGCGUGUAGGCGGUUAGGUAGGUCCGUUGUGAAAACUCGAGGCUCAACCUCGAGACGCCGAUGGAAACCAUCUGACUAGAGUCCGGAAGAGGAGAGUGGAAUUCCUGGUGUAGCGGUGAAAUGCGCAGAUAUCAGGAAGAACACCCGUGGCUAAGGCGGCUCUCUAGUACGUGACUGACGCUGAGACGCGAAAGCGUGGGGAGCGAACAGG
rnacentral:rRNA from 1 species